rnacentral:rRNA from 1 species
UACGGGGGGGGCAAGCGUUGUUCGGAAUUACUGGGCGUAAAGGGCUCGUAGGCGGCCAACUAAGUCCGACGUGAAAUCCCAAGGCUUAACCUUGGAACUGCGUCGGAUACUGGAUGGCUUGAAUUCGGGAGAGGGAUGCAGAAUUCCAGGUGUAGCGGUGAAAUGCGCAGAUAUCAGGAGGAACACCGGUGGCGAAGGCGGGUCUCUGGGCAGUUACUGACGCUGAGGAGCGAAAGCGUGGGGAGCGAACAGG